GUGAACGCUGGCGGUAGGCCUAACCCAUGCAAGUCGAACGGCAGCACAGUAAGAGCUUGCUCUUACGGGUGGCGAGUGGCGGACGGGUGAGGAAUACAUCGGAAUCUACUUUUUCGUGGGGGAUAACGUAGGGAAACUUACGCUAAUACCGCAUACGACCUACGGGUGAAAGCAGGGGAUCUUCGGACCUUGCGCGAUUGAAUGAGCCGAUGUCGGAUUAGCUAGUUGGCGGGGUAAAGGCCCACCAAGGCGACGAUCCGUAGCUGGUCUGAGAGGAUGAUCAGCCACACUGGAACUGAGACACGGUCCAGACUCCUACGGGAGGCAGCAGUGGGGAAUAUUGGACAAAGGGCGCAAGCCUGAUCCAGCCAUACCGCGUGGGUGAAGAAGGCCUUCGGGUUGUAAAGCCCUUUUGUUGGGAAAGAAAAGCAGCAGGUUAAUACCCCGCUGUUCUGACGGUACCCAAAGAAUAAGCACCGGCUAACUUCGUG
rnacentral:rRNA from 1 species